rnacentral:misc_RNA from 1 species
UACGGAGGGGGCUAGCGUUGUUCGGAAUUACUGAGCGUAAAGCGCACGUAGGCGGAUUAGAAAGUCAGAGGUGAAAUCCCAGGGCUCAACCUUGGAACUGCCUUUGAAACUCCUAGUCUAGAGUUCGAGAGAGGUGAGUGGAAAUCCGAGUGUAGAGGUGAAAUUCGUAGAUAUUCGGAGGAACACCAGUGGCGAAGGCGGCUCACUGGCUCGAUACUGACGCUGAGGUGUGAAAGCGUGGGGAGCAAACAGG